CUAUUUGAGUACGAGCGCACUGUUAGGACCGGAAAGAUGGUGAACUAUGCCUGGGCAGGGUGAAGCCAGAGGAAACUCUUGUGGAGGUCCGUAGCGGUCCUGACGUGCAAAUCGGUCGUCCGACCCGGGUAUAGAGAGAGAGUGUAGAUG